UACGUAGGGGGCUAGCGUUGCUCGGAAUCACUGGGCGUAAAGCGCACGUAGGCGGAUUGUUAAGUCAGGGGUGAAAUCCUGGAGCUCAACUCCAGAACUGCCUUUGAUACUGGCGAUCUCGAGUCCGGGAGAGGUGAGUGGAACUGCGAGUGUAGAGGUGAAAUUCGUAGAUAUCAAGAGGAACACCUGAGGUGAAGACGGGUUGCUGGGCUGACACUGACGCUGAGGCGCGAAAGCCAGGGGAGCAAACGGG
rnacentral:rRNA from 1 species